rnacentral:rRNA from 1 species
AUACGGAGGGUGCAAGCGUUGUUCGGAAUCACAGGGCGUAAAGGGCGCGCAGGCGGUUUUACAAGUCAGAUGUGAAAGCCCACGGCUCAACCGUGGAAGUGCAUUUGAAACUGUAAGACUUGAGUAUCAGAGGGGAAGGUGGAAUUCCCGGUGUAGAGGUGAAAUUCGUAGAUAUCGGGAGGAAUACCGGUGGCGAAGGCGACUUUCUGGCUGAAUACUGACGCUGAGGCGCGAAAGCGUGGGGAGCAAACAGGAUUAGAAACCCUAGUAGUCC